GUGGCAUUGGCUCAAGAAGAGCACCAGACUUAAAGUCUGGAGGUCUCAGUUCGAAUCUGAGAUGCCACA